GAAUGUGGGAAAUCUUUUAACCUGUCUUCAACUUUUAUUAAACAUAAGGUAAUUCAUACUGGAGUAAAACUCUACAAAUGUGAAGAAUGUGGCAAAGUGUUUUUCUGGUCCUCAGCCCUAACUAGACAUAAGAAAAUUCAUGCUGGACAGCAACCCUACAAAUGGGAAAAAAUUGGCAAAGCCUUUAACCAGUCCUCACAUCUUACUACAGAUAAGAUAACUCAUAUUGGAGAGAAAUCUUACAAGUGUGAAUAAUAUGGAAAGCCUAAAAAAGUCCUCAAUUCUUAACAGAUAUAAGAUUAUUCAUACUGAAGAGAAACUCUACAAAUCUGAAAGAUGUGCCCAGUGCCUUUGACAGCAUCUCAAACUUUUCUAAACAAAAUCAUGCUGCUGACAAAUCCUAGAAAUGUGAAGAAUGUGACAAAGCCUUUAAAUGAUUGUUGCACUUCAUUGUAUGUAAGAUCAUUUAUACUGGAAAAAACUACCAAUGUGAACAAUGUGGCCAAGCUUCUAACCAAUGCUCAUAGCUUAUUGCACCGGUAAGCAUUUAUAUUUGAGAACAAAUGUACAAAUAUAGACAAAGCAAAAAAGCCAUUAAUACCUGCUCACAUCUUACUCAAAAUCAGAGUUCAUACUGAAUAAAAGCAUUAAAAAUCUAAUUACCGUCAAAAGAUCAGAAAAUAUGUCUUUAAAGUGCAGAAGCAUAUUUAUUUUGAAAAAGCAUUACAAAUAUGAAGAGGGUUGUAAUACAUUUACUUGUCUCACAGAUCUUAUUGUACACAUUUUGUACUAGAGGAAAACCCUGAGGCAGUUAUUAAAAUUUUGUUCAACAUCAGGGAGUUUAUAUUGAAGAAAACCCUGCAAAUGUAAUGAAUUUGGAAAAACAUUUUUUCAAAAACUACAAAUUAUGAAACACCAAAGCGUUCAUACUAAAAUAUAUUUUUGCAGAUGCAU
rnacentral:lncRNA from 1 species